UGAGGAAUCUUCCACAAUGGGGGCAACCCUGAUGGAGCAACGCCGCGUGAAGGAUGAAGGUCUUCGGAUUGUAAACUUCUUUUAUGAGUGAAGAAUAUGACGGUAACUCAUGAAUAAGCACCGGCUAACUACGUGCCAGCAGCCGCGGUCAUACGUAGGGUGCAAGCAUUAUCCGGAGUGACUGGGCGUAAAGAGUUGCGUAGGCGGCUUAAUAAGUGAAUAGUGAAACCUGGUGGCUCAACCAUACAGACUAUUAUUCAAACUGUUAAGCUCGAGAAUGGUAGAGGUAACUGGAAUUUCUUGUGUAGGAGUGAAAUCCGUAGAUAUAAGAAGGAACACCAAUGGCGUAGGCAGGUUACUGGGCCAUUUCUGACGCUAAGGCACGAAAGCGUGGGGAGCG
rnacentral:rRNA from 1 species